rnacentral:rRNA from 1 species
GACGAACGCUGGCGGCGUGCUUAACACAUGCAAGUCGAACGGAAAGGCCCUGCUUUUGUGGGGUGCUCGAGUGGCGAACGGGUGAGUAACACGUGAGUAACCUGCCCUUGACUUUGGGAUAACUUCAGGAAACUGGGGCUAAUACCGGAUAGGAGCUCCUGCUGCAUGGUGGGGGUUGGAAAGUUUCGGCGGUUGGGGAUGGACUCGCGGCUUAUCAGCUUGUUGGUGGGGUAGUGGCUUACCAAGGCUUUGACGGGUAGCCGGCCUGAGAGGGUGACCGGCCACAUUGGGACUGGGAUACGGCCCAGACUCCUACGGGAGGCAGCAGUGGGGAAUAUUGCACAAUGGGCGGAAGCCUGAUGCAGCAACGCCGUGGGCGGGAUGACGGCCUUCGGGUUGUAAACCGCUUUCGCUCAUGACGAAGCUUUGUGUGACGGUAGUGGGUAAAGAAGCACCGGCUAACUACGUG